rnacentral:rRNA from 1 species
ACGAUUGACGGAGCGAAGCGACGUCAAAGCGUUCAUUAAAGUCGAGUUGGCUUAGGGAUACGUUCGUUGGGUAGGGGAGCGUUCUGUAAGCCUGUGAAGGUGUGUCGUGAGGCAUGCUGGAGGUAUCAGAAGUGCGAAUGCUGACAUAAGUAACGAUAAAGCGGGUGAAAAGCCCGCUCGCCGGAAGACCAAGGGUUCCUGUCCAACGUUAAUCGGGGCAGGGUGAGUCGACCCCUAAGGCGAGGCCGAAAGGCGUAGUCGAUGGGAAACGGGUUAAUAUUCCCGUACUUGGUGUUACUGCGAAGGGGGGACGGAGAAGGCUAUGUUGGCCGGGCGACGGUUGUCCCGGUUUAAGCGUGUAGGUGUGUGUUCCAGGUAAAUCCGGUUCACUUUAACACUGAGGCGUGACGACGAGGCACUACGGUGCUGAAGCAACAAAUGCCCUGCUUCCAGGAAAAGCCUCUAAGCAUCAGGUAACAUCAAAUCGUACCCCAAACCGACACAGGUGGUCAGGUAGAGAAUACCAAGGCGCUUGAGAGAACUCGGGUGAAGGAACUAGGCAAAAUGGUGCCGUAACUUCGGGAGAAGGCACGCUGACACGUAGGUGAAGUGAUUUACUCAUGGAGCUGAAGUCAGUCGAAGAUACCAGCUGGCUGCAACUGUUUAUUAAAAACACAGCACUGUGCAAACACGAAAGUGGACGUAUACGGUGUGACGCCUGCCCGGUGCCGGAAGGUUAAUUGAUGGGGUCAGCGCAAGCGAAGCUCCUGAUCGAAGCCCCGGUAAACGGCGGCCGUAACUAUAACGGUCCUAAGGUAGCGAAAUUCCUUGUCGGGUAAGUUCCGACCUGCACGAAUGGCGUAAUGAUGGCCAGGCUGUCUCCACCCGAGACUCAGUGAAAUUGAACUCGCUGUGAAGAUGCAGUGUACCCGCGGCAAGACGGAAAGACCCCGUGAACCUUUACUAUAGCUUGACACUGAACAUUGAGCCUUGAUGUGUAGGAUAGGUGGGAGGCUUUGAAGUGUGGACGCCAGUCUGCAUGGAGCCGACCUUGAAAUACCACCCUUUAAUGUUUGAUGUUCUAACGUGGACCCGUAAUCCGGGUUGCGGACAGUGUCUGGUGGGUAGUUUGACUGGGGCGGUCUCCUCCUAAAGAGUAACGGAGGAGCACGAAGGUUGGCUAAUCCUGGUCGGACAUCAGGAGGUUAGUGCAAUGGCAUAAGCCAGCUUGACUGCGAGCGUGACGGCGCGAGCAGGUGCGAAAGCAGGUCAUAGUGAUCCGGUGGUUCUGAAUGGAAGGGCCAUCGCUCAACGGAUAAAAGGUACUCCGGGGAUAACAGGCUGAUACCGCCCAAGAGUUCAUAUCGACGGCGGUGUUUGGCACCUCGAUGUCGGCUCAUCACAUCCUGGGGCUGAAGUAGGUCCCAAGGGUAUGGCUGUUCGCCAUUUAAAGUGGUACGCGAGCUGGGUUUAGAACGUCGUGAGACAGUUCGGUCCCUAUCUGCCGUGGGCGCUGGAGAACUGAGGGGGGCUGCUCCUAGUACGAGAGGACCGGAGUGGACGCAUCACUGGUGUUCGGGUUGUCAUGCCAAUGGCACUGCCCGGUAGCUAAAUGCGGAAGAGAUAAGUGCUGAAAGCAUCUAAGCACGAAACUUGCCCCGA